CGGAGUCAGCGUGCGCGUCAUUAGCCCUCGGGGGGAGGCUGGGUGGUAUGUUGUGGCGCUGAUUCAAAUAAUAUUACAUUUAAUUUCGUCCCGUUAGGUUAUUAAAGGACUAUGAAUGGAAGCGCAGGUCGUACAAUAUGCCGUGCUGUCUGCUGUCUUGGUAGGCCGGGUGAAAUUAAGUUUGGCACCUAGCGAAAAUGAUUCCUAAGAAAUAUUGGGAAGUUUCUCCAUGUUGCGGCAUGUCGGUGGACCACGCCACGUGGUCGCAAGUCCAGUGAAUCUGGGCUCAAAGAUUCCGGCGGAGGAGCGGUAGAUCACGGUGAUGUGGCGCCCCCGAGACCACUUUCCCAUCGUCGUGGCUUCGGAUUUUUAUGAUCUCAGUGAUCUGAAAAUAAAUUAAUUCAAUACUA